UACGGAGGGUGCAAACGUUGCUCGGAAUCAUUGGGCGUAAAGCGCACGUAGGCGGCCUGAUAAGUCGGGUGUGAAAGCCCUGGGCUCAACCCAGGAAGUGCACUCGAAACUGUCAGGCUUGAAUAUGGAAGAGGGUCGCGGAAUUCCCGGUGUAGAGGUGAAAUUCGUAGAUAUCGGGAGGAACACCAGUGGCGAAGGCGGCGACCUGGGCCAAUAUUGACGCUGAGGUGCGAAAGCGUGGGGAGCAAACAGG
rnacentral:rRNA from 1 species